AACGCACAUUGCGCCCCUUGGUAUUCCGAGGGGCAUGCCUGUUCGAGCGUCAUUACAACCCUCAAGCACUGCUUGGUGUUGGGCCUGGCUUUUGUUAGCCGGCCUUAAAGACAGUGGCGGUGCCAUCUGGCUCUAAGCGUAGUAAAUACCUCGCUCUAGAGUCCUGUGUGCUCUUGCCAUAACCCCAAAUUUUCUAUGGUUGACCUCGGAUCAGGUAGGGAUACCCGCUGAACUUAA
rnacentral:misc_RNA from 1 species